CCAGAGGGAAGGAAGUGGAACCCAUUAUUUUGUGUGUUUGGUAUGUGUGAAGUGGGUUCUUGGUGGAAGUGAAUUCCAUCAAAUUUGAUGGAACUGAGUUCUUUGGGUACCUCGAUGGAACUAAGCUGGGUUCUUCGAAACUGAAAUUUUGUGACCAUUCUAUCCUCAAUUAUUUUAUCAAUUAACAAAUUUGCCUAUCUUGAUUAUAACCAUGCCUUAUCCCUUCUCUAUCCAAGUCGAUGACAUCUCCUCCUCUGGUGUCCAUCUCAAACAUUCACUGCAUCCUCCUCCGGCUUCUCCUUCGAUUUCAUCUUCUCCCUUCUCGCUUGCUCUUCCAACAUCGGCAACAAUGACCUCGCGAGAACGAUAAAGACGACAUAAAGCUAACCGUGCGACGUUGAUGAAGUGCGCCGUUGUAGGGGUUUCGGCCUUUGAUUUUCACUUUGGAUGCUCAUUGUCUUUCCUCCGCUUCAUCUAUUUCUUCCGUCAACGACAAGGGAGAGAGAUCGACAUUUGGGUUUCUCCAGAGAGUAUGGUUUUUGCUAUCAAGGGGGUGUUGCCCACAAUCUUAAGAGUUAUUCCUUGAUAAUUUUGUGUUGAGGCGUGUUUCUGAGCAAAAGAAAAGUAUCAGAUUAAAUCUUGAGAAAUUUGCUAGCUGGGUGCCUACACCAUCGGCUAUCCCAUCUUGUGGUGGGUAUUCCAAGAAGUCAAGCUAGAAGGUUUGAUGUUCUCAAUGUUUGUUCACGCAAAGCCAUAAAACUUGCAGCUCUGCAUUUUAGAUAGUGUUACUGGAAAAAUAGCAAUGGAAUUCUUGAACCUAUGUGUUUGACUGCGGAUUUAUAAGAAUAAAUAUUGGUGAAAGUCAAAGCACUGGUAAGUAGAUAAUUCAGGCCUAAAUGUGAACACUUGCAGAGCUACAUUUGACAUAUGUCGUUAGAUGAGUUCUGUGGCAAUAACUGUAUUGUGAAUUUGUGAGGCUUCAACUUGAAGAUUUCAAGGUGUACCGUGUUGUCGUUACAAUAUAUACCUGAAAGAUUGAAUUAUA